CGCGACUUGAAAUUACGGCGCAUAUUAUCUUCCGUUAUCCACUUUCCAGUAAUAUCUCACACAUCGGGUCUUGUACGUAAUACCUGCGGAGGUAUAUACGCUAUGCGAGAUCUCCUCGUUCCUAUCUCACCUUUUGUACGAGUUAUUUUGUUUUUCUAUUGCGUUCUUUGUCCCGUUCCCGUACAAACGCACCACCUCUGUGUUGUACGUGCAUGUGUACGACGAAGCGUGUAACAACGCCGGCUGUCCAUCCUGGAUUUAUGCCGUACGAUCGAUUCAUCUCACAAUCAGUCGUAUGGAAUCGAUGGUUAGAGUCGGUAGACUGCUGUAUAAUUGUUGUGGCUGUAGGAUAUUUUCGAUCAUAUCUGUCGAUCUGUACAAGAGUAAAGACACCCUGGGUGUACAACGUACACUGUGCAGGACACAAGACG
rnacentral:misc_RNA from 1 species